GGGCGGUUAGCUCAGCUGGCCAGAGCGCGUGAUUGACGUUCACGAGGUCAGAGGUUCAAGUCCUCUACCGCCCACCA
rnacentral:tRNA from 1 species